UGUAUUUUCACCACGGUGAGUGUGAGAUGGAGUUGACAGUUCUGUUACUAACACUGGUUCAAAUUGUCACUGGAGAGGUAACAAUGGAUAUAUCACCAGCAAGAACAACUGCAGGAUCCCAGAUAGAAUUAGUGUGUUGGCAGCAUCAGCAAGCUUGGGAGAGUGUUUGGUAUCGUAAUGGUCAAAAUGUCCUCACUGUGAGUAAGACGAGUAGAAAUCCCUGCAAUGCAGAAUGGCAUAUUGAUACUCUGGAUAAUACGGUGGUCACUUGUCCAGGAAAUAGUGGGCAUUUCAACCUGCGCUUCCAACAGUCUACGAUUGAACUGAGUGGCACAAUAUGGGACUGCAAGAUUGGGGAAAAAGGUAGCAAUAGUGUGACCAUUGAACUGACGGGGGAACCAAACGAUCCAACCAUCUCAUCGACAUUCAACUUUCUAGUUCCCGUGAGUGUAAGCGUGGGAUGUGUCCUGUUGGCUGGAGCGAUGUCUCAUCAUAACCGUCAGAAAACGCAGUCGUCGGAGGUCGUGUGUGAAAGGAACAGCAACACCUAAUGACAGGUACAGAAGCUACACUAUGUCUUAGAUAAAUAGAAUAUUACAUGUGUGUCAGACACAUAAAAUCAUUUCCCAUUUUAAAGAACCUCUAAACAUAAGAAUCAAUGCAUGUAUAGAUGCAAAAAACGUAUUUUUCAGCAUGCGUAAUGAAUUGCAAAAUCCAUGCUUAGAACUGGAAACACAGAAUGAUAUAAACUAUACAGCCAUCAAUACUAAUUUUUGUUUUAUUCGAAGCAAUGACGAGAACACAAGAAGGAGAGAUUUAAGUUUAGUUAUACAGGAAAACGACCUUUAUGAAACAUCCAGUGGUAACAAUGCCUACGGCGUGACUGUUCCUACUGUCGACGAUGCUGUGUCGAGGAGAUCUGCAUUAGUGAUGCAAGAGAACCUGAUAUACGAACAGAGCAAUGCACAUGAAGCAGUGAUGCAAGAGAACCUGAUAUACGAACAGAGCAAUGCACAUGAAGCAGUGCAGAUAGUGGACUCAGAUGAUGUCUGCACAGAGGUUAGAAAGACAUGAAGAUGACACAAUGCUUGACACCAAGGUUAUCCACAGUGCAUCAGAAAACUGGAUGUCUUCAUGGUACUGUCCGAUUAUUAAAGCAGCCCAUGUGUUUUUAAUAUGAAAUAUUUCUUCACGACUGUUGUGUCGCUUGUAUAUAAACAUACUUAGCAUGGUCGCCUUGUCAACUUAAAUGUCAUCUGCUUGAAUUGUCCUUGAUAU
rnacentral:misc_RNA from 1 species